rnacentral:lncRNA from 1 species
UACUUGCUAUUACAAGCAUUCAUCUCACAUAUUACAUUUUUGCAUUCUUAGAUUACAUCACAUUUGAUUACUUGAUUCUUACUUCCAAAUACAAUCUAGUUUUAACAUAGUUAUUACAACAUUGUUCUUACAAUUAUCAUACUCUUGGUUCUUUGCAUUUUAUACCCCUAAGAAGUCGACUCAGGGUGCUGCUAUCUGGUCUCUGUGGUAGGGCGCUA